UAUUAUAGUUAUAAAUUUACCAUGUUUGUUGUUAGUCAUUCUAAGUUCCUGAUGAUGACUUACAAGAGCUAUGGUCACGUAUACAUUGUGUAUUUGGAUUCUAAAUAUGUUGUCUUUAAUUUUUAAUGAAUUAUAAUGGAAUUCUAUUAUAUGUUAUAGUUUUAAGUUUGAUCAGAUUUUUCUUAGAAUUUAAGUAUUGUAUGGAUGUUAGACGUAAAUAAAAUAAUUUGAUAUUAUUUGAUGUUCUUAAAAAUGUUUGUAACUACACCAUACGAAAAACUAUUUUCUCGGUAGCAUGAAUGCAUUAAAUAUUGCAUUUUAACUGGUAACCCAGAAACUGCGUGAGAGAAACGGUUAGAAGUAUAUAUUUUUAAUUAGGCCAUUUAAAAUUUUAUCGUUCGUAAUUAUUUUAAGGUUGGGAAAAUAUUGUAUUGAUACAUAGAAAUUAAAAC